AGCAGCACCGGGUGCGCCCUUAAUGCAUGAAUUUCCCGAUCAAGCUUAUUUGUAAGAUUUGUAGUUUCUGCAUUUUGAUUGGCAAGCUCAUCGCGAAUGCGUCCUCUUUCAAGAUUUAAAUCCAACCGUUGGCCGGCAGUAAGCUUGUCAACCUCAUACCUUAGUUCACUGCGCAUUUUUUCAAUGUCAUUCCGAAGCUUUUCAAGUUCACGUUGCAGCAGAGAAAAAUGAUGUUCCUGAGAACUUUGUACUUCAGACUUGAAUUUGGAGAGGUUGGCUUCUUGAAUCAUCUCAGAUUUCUGCAUUUCAGCUCGUGAAACAAAAGAAUGAGCUACAUUUUCCAAACUGUCAUUCAAAACUUCAGUGAUAGCAGAUGUUAUUGCUUCCGCCUGUUCUGAUGGUACACCUCGUGCUUCUAAUCUCCUAACCAGAGCUAAUGUAUCGACAAGAAACGCACGCUUGCCAUUAGGUUUAGCAAGCUGUGAGAUUUGCCUAUAAUCAAACUUGUUAGCAGCAGACGAUUUAUAUGGCUCAGAACUGUAAAAAUUAACUGAACCAGCGUUGAUUUGUGAUCUAUCAAUCAACAAAGCAGCAGAAACUUUAGAUGCAUUAAUCCCUUGAGAUUUAGACAGUCUAAUCCCACAAUUAGCCCCUAACUGAACCACACGUCUCGCAACAGCCAUUAAUUUCUCAAAAUCUACAAGAAGAAGAAGAAAAACCUUUUGAAUUUUUUUCAACAAAAAACUAGACAAAUCUGCAUCGAUUUCAACGAGAUUUUGAACGAAGUAUGAAAGGUCAAACUUUCAGAAAUGGCGGCGAAAAUAAGAGAUUGAAGGAGACAGAAGAGGGGUAUAGUUGAUUGUUA
rnacentral:misc_RNA from 1 species